GUGAAGCAGGAGCUUGCUCUUGUGGAUCAGUGGCGAACGGGUGAGUAACACGUGAGCAACCUGCCCCUGACUCUGGGAUAAGCGCUGGAAACGGCGUCUAAUACUGGAUAUGAACCGGAGCCGCAUGGUUACUGGUUGGAAAGAUUUUUCGGUUGGGGAUGGGCUCGCGGCCUAUCAGCUUGUUGGUGAGGUAAUGGCUCACCAAGGCGUCGACGGGUAGCCGGCCUGAGAGGGUGACCGGCCACACUGGGACUGAGACACGGCCCAGACUCCUACGGGAGGCAGCAGUGGGGAAUAUUGCACAAUGGGCGGAAGCCUGAUGCAGCAACGCCGCGUGAGGGAUGACGGCCUUCGGGUUGUAAACCUCUUUUAGCAGGGAAGAAGCGAAAGUGACGGUACCUGCAGAAAAAGCGCCGGCUAACUACGUGCCAGCAGCCGCGGUAAUACGUAGGGCGCAAGCGUUAUCCGGAAUUAUUGGGCGUAAAGAGCUCGUAGGCGGUUUGUCGCGUCUGCUGUGAAAUCCCGAGGCUCAACCUCGGGCCUGCAGUGGGUACGGGCAGACUAGAGUGCGGUAGGGGAGAUUGGAAUUCCUGGUGUAGCGGUGGAAUGCGCAGAUAUCAGGAGGAACACCGAUGGCGAAGGCAGAUCUCUGGGCCGUAACUGACGCUGAGGAGCGAAAGGGUGGGGAGCAAACAGGCUUAGAUACCCUGGUAGUCCACCCCGUAAACGUUGGGAACUAGUUGUGGGGUCCAUUCCACGGAUUCCGUGACGCAGCUAACGCAUUAAGUUCCCCGCCUGGGGAGUACGGCCGCAAGGCUAAAACUCAAAGGAAUUGACGGGGACCCGCACAAGCGGCGGAGCAUGCGGAUUAAUUCGAUGCAACGCGAAGAACCUUACCAAGGCUUGACAUAUACGAGAACGGGCCAGAAAUGGUCAACUCUUUGGACACUCGUAAACAGGUGGUGCAUGGUUGUCGUCAGCUCGUGUCGUGAGAUGUUGGGUUAAGUCCCGCAACGAGCGCAACCCUCGUUCUAUGUUGCCAGCACGUAAUGGUGGGAACUCAUGGGAUACUGCCGGGGUCAACUCGGAGGAAGGUGGGGAUGACGUCAAAUCAUCAUGCCCCUUAUGUCUUGGGCUUCACGCAUGCUACAAUGGCCGGUACAAAGGGCUGCAAUACCGUGAGGUGGAGCGAAUCCCAAAAAGCCGGUCCCAGUUCGGAUUGAGGUCUGCAACUCGACCUCAUGAAGUCGGAGUCGCUAGUAAUCGCAGAUCAGCAACGCUGCGGUGAAUACGUUCCCGGGUCUUGUACACACCGCCCGUCAAGUCAUGAAAGUCGGUAACACCUGAAGCCGGUGGCCUAACCCUUGUGGAGGGAGCC
rnacentral:rRNA from 1 species